rnacentral:rRNA from 1 species
UACGGAGGAUGCAAGCGUUAUCCGGAAUGAUUGGGCGUAAAGCGUCUGUAGGUGGUUUUCUAAGUCUACUGUCAAAGAUCAAGGCUUAACCUUGAGCCGGCAGUGGAAACUGGGAGGCUUGAGUACGGUAGGGGCGGAGGGAAUUCCCGGUGUAGCGGUGAAAUGCGUAGAGAUCGGGAAGAACACCAAGGGCGAAAGCACUCCGCUGGGCCGAUACUGACACUGAGAGACGAAAGCGAGGGGAGCGAAUGGG